ACGCAGCGAAAUGCGAUACCUAGUGUGAAUUGCAGAAUUCCGUGAAUCAUCGAGUUUUUGAACGCAAGUUGCGCCCGAGGCUCGUCUGAGGGCAUGCCUGCCUGAGCGUCCCU
rnacentral:rRNA from 1 species